rnacentral:rRNA from 1 species
AGCGAACGCUGGCGGCAGGCCUAACACAUGCAAGUCGAACGAACCUUUCGGGGUUAGUGGCGGACGGGUGAGUAACACGUGGGAACGUGCCUUUAGGUUCGGAAUAACUCAGGGAAACUUGUGCUAAUACCGAAUGUGCCCUUCGGGGGAAAGAUUUAUCGCCUUUAGAGCGGCCCGCGUCUGAUUAGCUAGUUGGUUGAGGUAAUGGCUCACCAAGGCGACGAUCAGUAGCUGGUCUGAGAGGAUGAUCAGCCACAUUGGGACUGAGACACGGCCCAAACUCCGCGGGGAGGAGGCGGGGGGGAUUUUUGCGAAAGGGGCGAAAGCCUGACGCACCCAUGCCGGGUGAAUAAGGAGGGUUUAGGGUUUGAAAAAUUUUUUCCCGGGGGAGGAUAAUGAGGGCCCCGGGGGAAGAAGCCCCGGCAAACUUGGUG